GAGUAACACGUGGGUAACCUGCCUGUAAGACUGGGAUAACUCCGGGAAACCGGAGCUAAUACCGGAUAGUUCCUUGAACCGCAUGGUUCAAGGAUGAAAGACGGUUUCGGCUGUCACUUACAGAUGGACCCGCGGCGCAUUAGCUAGUUGGUGAGGUAACGGCUCACCAAGGCGACGAUGCGUAGCCGACCUGAGAGGGUGAUCGGCCACACUGGGACUGAGACACGGCCCAGACUCCUACGGGAGGCAGCAGUAGGGAAUCUUCCGCAAUGGACGAAAGUCUGACGGAGCAACGCCGCGUGAGUGAUGAAGGUUUUCGGAUCGUAAAGCUCUGUUGUUAGGGAAGAACAAGUGCAAGAGUAACUGCUUGCACCUUGACGGUACCUAACCAGAAAGCCACGGCUAACUACGUGCCAGCAGCCGCGGUAAUACGUAGGUGGCAAGCGUUGUCCGGAAUUAUUGGGCGUAAAGGGCUCGCAGGCGGUUUCUUAAGUCUGAUGUGAAAGCCCCCGGCUCAACCGGGGAGGGUCAUUGGAAACUGGGAAACUUGAGUGCAGAAGAGGAGAGUGGAAUUCCACGUGUAGCGGUGAAAUGCGUAGAGAUGUGGAGGAACACCAGUGGCGAAGGCGACUCUCUGGUCUGUAACUGACGCUGAGGAGCGAAAGCGUGGGGGAGCGAACAGGAUUAGAUACCCUGGUAGUCCACGCCGUAAACGAUGAGUGCUAAGUGUUAGGGGUUUCCGCCCCUUAGUGCUGCAGCUAAC
rnacentral:rRNA from 1 species